AUGCUGGCUUUGCUCUCUCGCCUUUCCAGCUACGACCAGGGAGUGGGCUGGGUCUCCUCCCCGGGCCCUCCCAAAGGGAAGGACCUCUCAGGUUCCAAGAAGAUGGGUGCAGCGGAGCUGGACGGGUGUCUCUGGCCUUGCUCUCCUCGGAGGGAUGGUUCCCCAGGAAGUUCGUGCUCCCCCCCCUCAAGCCCCAGCUUUGGACGGUCUCAACAGCAGAGCUUUCUUAAGAAAAUGCUUGUCAUGGCAACAGCUCCAGCCAACUCGGGCCAGAGUCUUGCUCACCAGCUCUCCCGGAGCAGUGAGGGAGGAGAAGGGGGAGGAGCGAGAGCUGGAACGGAGGUGGGGCUUGGCUGGAGGCCAGACCAUGACUCUACUGUUAAGGUGGCCCGAUUUCGAGCUGCAGCUGCUUCCUGGUUUGUCUUAAGGCGGAAUGGAGAAAUGGAGGGGAAGAAUCCUCUCUUCUCUCUGGUUUCCUCCCCGCCCUUGCUGUCACUUGUGGGAAGGAAGACAAAUGGCCUCAAGAAGGCCUGGGGACAGAGUGGACUAAGAAUUUCCACGAGACCAUGUCCCUAUCUGAUGGAUCCAGAUUACGUGGCCAAGAAAGAUGCUGAAAUCUCCUCUGUCCCCGUCAGUCACUUGGACAUGCCUCUGAAACAAAGGGACGGCUAUUUCCUUGUUAGGGGGAUCCUGUCGGCCUGGAGAUUCAAGACCAAGCCAUCACACAUUGGAGGAAUUCUGGUAACCCCAGCCCGACUGUAAAUUUUGUGGGGGCAGAGACCUCGGCUUCUAUGAUGCUGCUGGGCAGGUGCUUAAUCAAUGCUUGUUGACACGUUGGGGAAAAAGUCAGCCCAGGUGAGAGCGCUUUCCAUAGUUGGAAAACGGGGNNGGGGGGGGGGCGGGGGGGCGGGGAGAAGCCUGAUACACAAGCUUCCGUGUCAGACUUGGACUUGAAUCGUAGCCCUGACACGUCACAGCUGUGUGACCUGGGGCAUGUCGCUUCGCCUCUCUCAUCUGGGGUUCCCAGAUCUGUAGAGAGUCGUUAACAAUAGUGCCUACCUCACAGGGGUGUUACGAGGUACCUAACAGAACGCCACUGGCCCACGGCAGGUGCAGAAGCGCCCCCCCCAGCCCCCAGCUUGCGCACUUCACUUCCUAAGAACACUUCUUGAAGCUCCAGAUGGAGAUAUUCUUGGAGUUUUGUCCUGGUCUUGGUAUGUGUUUCUGGGUCAUACAGUUUCUCAUUCUGUCAUAGCUUUUUUUUUUUUUUUUGGUCAUUCUUUAUUUUUUCGUUUUUCUGUUUCUCUUCUCCUCUUACCUUUUCUUAAACACUUUCUGCUGUCUUUCUGCUGUCUUCCACCCCACACUUUCCCUCCCUCCCCUCUUUCCUUCUUCCUUUCUCCUUCCUGACCCCUAGCCUCCCGGGCCUCUGUGUGACUGCACUGCUCCCCUUGCUGUCUUGGUCGCAUGUUCCUCUGUUCAUGGCACAGGACGGCUUUCCUCAGGGAAUCCAAGGAAAUGAGUGAGAAGCAUCUCCCACCUCAGCAACCAGAUGGGGAGCUGCUCUCCACAGAGAAUGACAUCGUCAUUUCUGGGAAAAGCUUUUAACUCUUGGAACCCAAAUGGCUCUCGCUUUGUGUCGCUGCUUCUAUUUCUCAAGGGCCCUGGGCUCCAUCAGGGUCCUCGGAAAACCAGUAGCAGAGGUCUCGGAAAUUGUGCUGCCCAGGCAGAGGACCGCCUCCGCCGAGUCCACUUCCAGGACAGGAUUCAGCAGGACCCAGGGGGGUGGGGAUACGGUGUUGAGGACCCGGAGGCCCCCAUCUGAUGAGGGAGGCCACACUCCCAUGAGUCAGAGCUGAC
ensembl:lncRNA